GAUGAACGCUAGCGGCAGGCCUAAUACAUGCAAGACGAACGGUAAGUUGAGUAGCAAUACUUAGCCAAGAGUGUCGUACGGGUGCGUAACACGUAUGCAACCUACCCUACACAGGAGGAUAGCCUAGGGAAACCUGGAUUAACCCUUCAUAGUAUUUAUUGGAUGGCAUCAUUUGAUAAUUAAAACUGAGGUGGUAUAGGAUGGGCAUGCGUCUGAUUAGUUAGUUGGCGGGGUAAUGGCCCACCAAGACGAUGAUCAGUAGGGGUUCUGAGAGGAAGAUCCCCCCACACUGGCACUGAGAUACGGGCCAGACUCCUAACGGGAGGCAGCAGUAGGGAAUAUUGGUCAAUGGAUGCAAGUCUGAACCAGCCAUGCCCGCGUGCAGGAAGAAGCCUUC
rnacentral:rRNA from 1 species